AGAGUUACUACUCCAAACCCAUUGUGAACCUUACCUAUGUUCUGUUGCCUCGGCGGGGCGGUCGGCGCCCCCUCUCCGCGAGGAGGGGAGACGAUGGACCCCCCGCCGGCAGCACCAAACUCUUGAAUUUUAUAGCGGAUUACAAGCUCUGAUUGGAAAACAAAAAAACAAAUCAA
rnacentral:misc_RNA from 1 species